rnacentral:lncRNA from 1 species
GUCCAACACCUUAGACCUCUACAACCCAUCAUGACAGUCUUAAUUCAUAUCUACUUCCAACAUAUGACCGACUGUGGAUGGUUUGAAUAACUUAGUCAUUCCGGAAGAAUAACCCAGUUUAUUCGGGAAGUCAAAACAUGCAAAGUGAAACACAAUAAUAAUUGAAUCCAAUAUGGUAUCAACCCUUUGAACAUAAAUAAAACACCUUUUAUUUAUCACCAUAUGAUUACACAUUAUUCAUUGUAUACUGUUUCAGCUAUCAACUUUAUUCUUGAAUUUAAAACAAUAGUUGUCCCAUGCUCCAAGCAUGUACACUAUGUUUUCUUAAACACUAGUCAUGCCACACACCAAGUAUGCAUACUAUGUUUGUCUAUGAUCUUUACUUUGUGAACUAGAUCAAUUGAACAUAACUUCAAUGAUUCUCUUUUCACACUCCCAAAUCCUUACUGCAAAUGCAAGAAUUCCAAAUUCAUGCCAUUUACUGAAAUCUGUUAGAUUCUAAACUUAUAUGCAUUGAUCCUCUUGUAAUGAUUAUGCACAAAGUCAGAAAGACUUGACAACAAUCAUUACAGAGUAUUCCAAAGGAGAUCAGCUCCUUGGAAACAUCCUUCUUGCAUUAAGUUUCCUAAUCUUAAACAGAUUGAAAAUUCUAACUUUGAAACAUUUCCAGAUUCCAUUUUGACUAUCACUUCUGAACAAGAGUUGCCUCCUUACAGAUUAUGUCAAUAUGGUCCUUCCAGAAUUAUCACUAUACUUCCAACUGUCCUUGAGCAACCAAUCUUUGGUAAACCUUAGAUUGUCCUCGACAAUUGUUUAAUCCUUUUAGUCAUAUCCAGUUCUAAACCUUUUCCCUUCUUAAUGCCCCAGGCAUUUGGAAAAUUUUAGAACGGAUGAAUAUAGCACAUGUAAUCGAUCCUAUAUCCGAAGCAUAUGGGACACGAUUCAUGAUGUCUUACAUAAAGACUAAACCAGUCUUUUGCUAUAAUAUUUCCAUUUCAAUUUGCCAAGUUCUCAUAAUUCAGAUUAUGAAAAGGGAUGCCGUAAUCAUAAUCGAAUUUUAGAACGCAAAUAAUGGACCCAUAUACAGAAUUUCCUUAUGUUGAGCCAUUCCAACAUGAAAUUCAUAUAUAUCCUUGACUAAAUGAUUAAAACCUCACGAUCUAAGCUUAUAGAUUUGAGAUGAAGUAUAAUUUCCUCUCCCUUAAUUAUAGCAAAACAACUUUUUCCCAAUUGAAACUUUUGUUUUCUAUAAUUAACAUUGCUAACUUGCAAUACUUAUCAUAAUUAUCAUGCUCCCACUAACAUGAUGAUUAUUAGCAUAACACUUAUGCUCCCACUAGCUUUGACAUGUACUCAGAAAUCAGCUGGACUUCUAGAAAUCAAUACUUCAUUGACUUUCUUACCAAAGUUCAGAUUUCUGAUGCUAGAUUGUUUUGAUAAAACUUUAUCAAAAUCAUACACCUUCCCUUAGAUAGCACACUUGUGUAUCUAAACAAUUAUGAAGAGGGAUGCCGUAAUCAUAAUGUUUAGACCUUUUUGCCACUUCUCACAAGUCCAAAUUAGUGUGCCGGUUAACCACACGCGCUCCACUAACGACUUUGAGAAUGCAAAUAUCACAAUUGCUAUCUAGCUAAAAUCUACUUAGUGAAAGUGUUUCCUCACCAUCAUUUUCAUGAAUCGGAGAGAAACCUUAUGACACUUAGAUUUAAUGGUGUAUGUGUUCUUAUCCAUGUGAAUUGUCAAAACCAUAGUCACAAGACAAGGAUAAUGACAAAUCCAAACUCAUAUGGACUGAACUCAAUCUUAAUUUCUUGCCACCUGGCAGCUCAAGGGCCUACCAUUGCUUCCAAGUUGUUGUGCAACAAAUUGAGAACUCUAAGAACUCAUAUGCAAAGCCAACUUUAACUGGAAUGGGCACAGAAUAUGUCAACACGAUAGGUUAUGAACCUCAAGUCGUGUGCUAGUGAAGAACUUCAGGUUUUAUUCUUGAUUAGUUCUUGAGACUUUCAAGACCUUUAAGACUCCCACUGUCCUCUUGACAUAUAAGACUCCCUUGUCAAACAUCCAAGAGAUAGUGCGGAUUCUAAUCAAGAAAAACACUUUACCCAAUUGGCCUAAGUUGGUCUUUGUUUUAUCCAAAACAUCACAACUUACCAAUUUCAAAUGUACAAGAGUAGAAAACUUUUACUCUUACAUUUGACAAGUGUUUUAAACCUUCUUUAAGACAUGUCACUCAAAUGACAAUCUUGGAGUAUGACUCUAAGACUUGUAUUGGAACGAAGUAUGACUCAUCUUCUUGAUUUAACCAUUUCAACAAUUCAAGUUCCUCUUCUUAGUCAUAAGAAUGCACUAAGAUUUCCUUAGAGAACUAAUUUUGAUAUGGUUUCUUAAUCAUUAAGAUGAUCACAAAACUGAUACUAAAGUACUCUCCCAUCUUUUCAGAUUUGAGAAACUUUUAUCCUUCUGCCUAAUUUGAUUCUUCUUAUUCGCUCUGCCAUACAUUGGAACCUUUUCCAAUGUCUCAGAGUUACACUUAAGCUUGUAAGUAUAAUCAUAUUUACUGAGCUUUAGUAAACUAUGACGAAUAGUCUUAUCAAUCUUUUGUGGUGGACUUAAUCAGUGCACAAGAAUGUGUACUCGAUCCCUUAGUCCUUUACUUGACUCACACAUCCAUGUGGCCGAGUAAUUAGUCUUAAUUUUCCAAAACUUGAAAGUUCUCAUUCAUCAUGCUAUACAACUUGCAUGAUUCCAAGUUCCGGUCCAAUUGAAACUUGGGUGAUGAGAAUCUUUCCUUAUUUGGUAAAUCUAGACAUUACCACAAAUGAAAGAAUCAAUUUCAUAUUUCCACUCUUGCUCUUAAUGGAAUCAUAUAAGCAACAAUUUUUCCUCAAAAGCCAUUGUAAGGAUAUUUUAAAAUAAAUAAAAUCAAAAAAAUUUUCUUUUAUUUUAAAACUUUGCGGAAAAACUUAUCCUUACAAUCCAUAUGAAAACUUGUUGUUAUCUAUUCCUAAGCAAUAUCUCAUAACUCCUAAGAAGUUGCUCAAGAAUCCGAUCUUCAAACUAUGCGAUAGAAAUCCAUCUACGCCAUCAGAUUCAGCAUAUUCUUUCUUUAAGUUUCUUCACUUUUCUUUGAUUCUUAAAACAUCACCAUGUGACCCAGUCACAUCAUGUAUCAGGAAUCUCAGAAUAGAAACUUAACAGAGUUAGAUAGUGGACUUUACCUGAAGUAGAGUCAAACUUAUUGACUUUAACAUCCUUAGGUAAAUUUGGCAGCUUCGCAACCAAUGCCCCUUCCUUUGGCAAUAUAAACAUAUGGACCCUUUGAUAAUGGUACACGAGACUAUCACAGACUUAGCUUUUCUCUUUACCAUUUGGUCAACCGAGUUGACUAUGGCCGAUCCCUUUCCAUUGGGAAGAGAAUGCUUUACUGGAUAUCCAAUGUCAUCAUUGUCAAUGUCCAUAAAGUUUUAGGAAGUUGAUCUUAGCAAAUAGAUAAGAUCAUUAAGGGUCUUGUCAUAGUCUGUUUCAUAGGUGUCCCAAAGGAACUCACUAUGUGACUUAGAAAGUGAUUGAACCACCAACUUUCUCAAGACUUUGACACCCAACUCUCCCGGCUUGUCAAUAUGUGACUACAUCUCCAAGAUGUGAUCACACCUAGACCUUGCCUUGCCAAUAGGGCUUGAGUGACCUUAAACUUUUCAAGAACUUGUGGGUUAGGGAGAAUAAUUGGAGGAGGUGAAAGAAGUAUGAUUUCCAAAGGACAUCAUCUUCAUUUAGGAAACCUUGUUUCACUAGAUUUGGGAAGAUCAUAGGUGUCUAUUACAGACAUCUUUUGGGAGAUAUUCAAGAUAGUUGAUUUAAAGUCCUUAAUAUGACACCCAAUAUGAAAUAUUAAGGCUAGGACCCAACAAACUAUUUUAUAACUUAGAAGAGGUAUGCCGUAAUCCAAGCUAUAAAAUAUUUGAAGGUAGGUGAAUGACGAUUCACCAAUUUCCACCAAGAUAAACGAAAUGUAUUAUUAGGUUUUAAUUGGUUUUGAAACUCCUAGAUCUUUGAGAUUCAUUGAACUGUUCAAAGGCAUGUUUCAAUCUCGAGUGUGCCCUUCAGGUUUUGUGACUGGGAUGCCGAGGAUCACAAAACAAGGUGUGAAGUAACCAUGCAAAUCACUUGGUACCCUUAAUAAAUUACCCCUCAAUCGAUGUGCCGGUUAACCACACACGCUCCAUCGAUACUAUGAUAAAUAUUAAGUCACCCUUUACCUACCUUGUUAAGUCCAAGUUAGUGUGCCGGUUAACCACACACGCUCCACUAACGACUUAGACAAAGUGUAAAGUGUAAUUUCAUGGAUUAGCACCUUAUUCACAUUUUUCCUAAGUAACUAAGAUUGGGUAUUAUUAAGAGUUUAGUUACUUAGUAUUAUCAUUAAUACUUUUAAUGAAGGGAGAAUUCUAGUCCUGUCAAACCCGUUCGGCUAACGACCCUCCACCAGUCAAGCAAGCGGUGGGUGAGAGUGGACACCCAUUAAGUUGCCAUUUUAUAGGCAACAACCUUAUACCCACCUUAUAGACCGGCUUCGUGAAUGAGGCGUACUAGCGGUAAGACUGACUUUACUCUUAUACAUAUAUAUAUUAUUAACUUAUAAUAUUAUAAAGUAUAAGGGUUGAAUUUUAACUUUUAAAAUUCUAAGGGCUAACUUGGAAUUAAAGUAUUCAUAAGUGAAAACUUUACAAAUUCCAAAACUUGAGGGCAAGUUUUGAAACUAUUCAAAACUAAUUAAUUCCAUAACUUAUGUGUUUAAAGUAGUUUUAAUCCAAAAACUCUUCAAGUUCCAUAACUUGAGGACAAGUUAUGGAAGACUUUAAACUAAUAAAAGAAUUAACUUUUCUUUAUUUUAUAACUUAUGGAAUUAAUUAAGGUUACACUUUUUUUUUUUUUAUUUUAUUUUAUUAAAUGAAGAGACUCUUGGUCCUCCAUAACUUGAGGACAAGUUAUGGAGUCAUAAAACCAUUUAAUUAGAACUAGACUCUUCAUUUUUGUAACCUUUGCCAAUUUUUAUGAGUUUUAUGAUUCUUAAAUGUGACUUUUCAUAUAACUUGAGGACAAGUUACAAAAACACAUUUUAGAAUCAAUUCUUAGAUUAAUUUGGAUUAAAACCAACUAUCACAUAAUUUUAUUCAUUAAUCUAAAUUCACUCAUAAAACAAGGUAACACAAAAAACUUUUGGUGAUCCAUAACUUAUUCUUAAGUUAUGGAAUCCUUUAAAACAUUAACACCAAAUUUUGUAACUCCAAAAAAACUUUGAAUCAAUUUUUUUUUUAAAACCUUUUCAUAUCCAUAACUUAUGGAGGUUUCAAAAAAUAAAACUCUUUAGAUCAAACUUUUAAAACUAAUAAAAUAAUCAUAUUAUUUUAUCUUUUAUUAAAUUUGACCUAAUUCAACUCAUAAAGCAAAUUAUUCAAAUUUUACAAAUAAUUAGUUUUUCACAAGAACAAGUAAUUAUCUUAAAAUUUGACAAACUUCAUGUUUUUUUUUUUUUUUUUUUUCAACUUUGAAAAUAAAAUAUUUGCAUCAAUAUAACAGAAAACAACCCGUGGCUCUGAUACCACUGUUGGGUUUUGAGCAUUCUAACACUUCCUAAGUGUACAUGCAACCCUAAAUACCUUGGAUCUAUGUUUUCUCUAUUAUACAUGCAAAUAAGAACUUCCAAGGUAUUAUCCUAAUCUAGCAUACAAAACAAUAAUGUAACAAGAUAGAAUACAUACCUCUUGAUGUAGAAAGUCUUCAUGAAGCUUGAGUGCUUAGUGCCCCAAGUGUGACACCUCAAAUGGAAUCACAAUCAUCAAAACACUUAGAAUGACUUGAGAGAAUUCUACACUCACCAAAAUCGGCUAGCCCUUUCUUCACACACACUAGUGGCCGAUUUUUCCUCAAUAAUAAGAUGCUUAUGUAGUUACACAAUUAGGGUAAACUCUUAAUUGUCAUGGCUUUCCAUUUCCUUGGAUCCAUGGGUACAAAUACACCAUGGAGCAUCCAUGGACCAUCCUAUGGGUUUUAGCCCAACUUGAUUAUCCAUGGAGCAUUAGCCCACUAUACAAGUAUGGAUGAUUUACACAAUCAACCCAUAUAUUUAAUUAGUCUUCUUUUGAUCACUUAAUUAAUCCUAGAUUAAUUCUUGAUCAAUACUAAUUAAAUAAUCUUAUUAUUCUUAUUAUUAAUAUACUAGAACUUAUAAUAUAUUAAUAACCAUAAGUGUCUUAUUUCUCUCAUUCAAGUGCAUGAUGGUAUGCAACCCAAAUGGACCAUGCCGGGUCGGGUCAAGUCUUACCAAUUAUAGUUAUGGACUUAGACAUUAAUCCAACAAUUAGAUCUUAUCAUUUUAGGGCAUUUCUAAGGCCAUAUUCGGUUUGAGUGUGUAUCAUGAAGUUACACUUCAGAUCUAGAACCAUUGAGGCUUCCCAUGGAAUAAAGGUGCCAACUUUAUGGCCAUGGGAAGCCCGUGCAUCUUAUAAACCCCUUUUCAUGGAUUUUGGAGCCAAAAACCCCCAUGCAUGGACAUCAAGUUCGUAGCUUUACGUAUGAAAUGGAACCUACGAGGUCAGAUCUAUGGUUUUGAUGCAUUAAGACCCAUUAAAAUCGACUGUAUGGUUUUGGACAAAGAGGGAAUCGGUGAGUCACUUGGGUGACUCAGCGAGUCGGGUCACAGUAUCCCCCAAAAGUCUUUUGGAAAUGAUUCUUGGUUGAGUUGAAGGAAAACUCACCCUGUUAAGGGUUUGUUAUGGACCUGAAGAUCAAAGGACUCGACGAGUUCAAGGCAAUGUCCCAACCUCUUGAAGACGGACUCGACGAGUUCAAGGAGAACUCGACGAGUCAUAAACUAGACUCAUUUAUGCGGAUGAAGAUGAACUCGACGAGUUCAAGGAUGAACUCAGCGAGUCGAUGAAGAUGGUCCCAAUGGUAUGGUUGAAGGAGAACUCGUUGAGCCCUUGAUAGACUCGGCGAGUAGAGUCGGGAUCUUAACAUUUUGUAGAGGUGGGGACUCGACGAGUUGGUGGACCAACUCGGUGAGUCGAGUCAACUGGGCGUUGACUUUGACCGAGAUUAACUUUGACCAGGGUUUGACCUUAACUUUGACUAGGACUUGGGUUGACCCUUGUAACGGGUUAUGAGUAUGUAUUAGUAAUCAAGAAAGGUUGUUGUGUAGGGAUUGAGGAGUAGAGACGAGUUGUUUCCCGUUCCGAGGACUGUGCAGAUACUACAUAACAUCGAGGUGGGUUACUUUCCAAUAGAAGUGGGUCUAAGGCACCAAGGUCGGCCCACUAGUAGUUGAUUAUACUUGAGAUGAUUGUCUUUGUGAUAAUUGUCUGGUUUGCUACUACCUGAUAUGUUUAUGUGCUAACAUGUUAAGUUAUAUAUGAUAGUGGUAGUAGGAGGGGACUACUCCCUGAAGUUCGGUUGUUAGGACCGAAGGGUAGGUCGGGCACCCCAGAUAUGUCUGACAGUAUGUUUAUGUUAUGAUAUAUGUGGUAGUACUGGUAGGGUGAAAUAGUCCUCGGAGUUCGGUUAUUAAGACCGAAGGGUAGGUCAGCACCCUAGAAUGGCUUGACUCGGGUAGGUCAGCACCCCAAAAUGGCCAGACCGGGUAGGUCGGGCACCCCAGAAUUGCCCGACCGUAUGUAUUGUCACACCCCCAAACCAAGGUUGGCGGAAACGUACGGGGGUGGAGGACUUCAUGUAUAGUGUCACAACAACGAGUAUAAUAGUGCUCAAAGUAAAUACAACCAUCAUAAAUAUAAUUGAAAAGGUUACACCAUGGUAUAUGUUUACAUGUUUCAAAAUCAAUUACAUUAUGAUGACAGAAUAAACGGUUUGACGAUUUAACGUCCCAUCCUGAAAGUGCUGAUGUUUUCCUUUUUCAUUGAUUUCCUGAGAAUACAAGUAGUUUUGAAAAGUGUCAACAAUUAAGUUGGUGAGUUCAUAAGAUUUUUGUUUGAGGAAGAAACCGUUUUCCUUGUAAAAGCGAUAGAGUAUGAUUUCCAGAAAAUCCAAUAUUUUCUUAGUUAAGUGUGAAAUGAAUGCUUCGAUGUUAUGCGAUAAUGAACCCCAGAAAGAACCAUAGAUUCCUUCUAUAAUCACUCAACGUAUAUAAGUUAUAUAAAAUUUAAGUCAAAUAAAUCGUUGAAUAUAAUGGGUCUGCCCAAGGUCCACAACCAAACAAGGAAUAGGAGAUAAGGCGGGCCCACCAAUUCAAUGUCGAUUUCAAUUCAAUUUUAUAUAACUCUAACAUGUACACUUAGUAAUUAUAGCUGAAAACUAACAAUUCUAACGAUAUUUAGUUUUAAUAUAAAAAAAAACCAUUUUGUGUAAACCUGGUACUUUGUAUUUGUAACCCUUUUUGUAUAAAUCUGGUACUUUGUAUUUAUAUCCCUUUUUGUAUAAGUCCGGUACUUUGUAUUUGUAGCCCUUUUUGUAUGAAUCCGGUACUUUGUAUUUGUAUGAAUCUGGUACUUUGUAUUUGUACCCCUUUUUUUAUAAGUCCGGUACUUUGUAUUUGUUCCCCUUUUUGCAUAAAUCCGGUACUUUGUAUUUUUACCCCUUUUUGUAUGAAUCCGGCACUUUGUAUUUGUACCCCUUUUUGUAUAAAUCCAGUACUUUGUAUUUGUACCCCUUUUGUAUAAAAACAUUUUGUAAUGUAAAUGGACAUAAAAUAUACCUAUUAUAAUUUAUCAAAAUGUUUUUAAUGUAUAUGCAACCUAACUAUACCUAUUAUAGUUUAGCGUGUUUGUUUGUGGUGUAUAAGAAACAUUUUCUAUGUAAGUCGAAUGUAUAGCAAAAAUAUAACCAUGUUUAUCAUGCGUUGUUUUGUAAUAUUGGUAAUAGUGGAGAAUUCUUACAAUUCAGUCAGUAUUUUCUAAUAUGUAUAAUUAUACCACAACAAGAAACACAUGUAAAAUAUGAAAUCCUCAAAGAUUAACACUUUGCUCAACAAGUUACAAAGUGUGAUGAAAGUUAUAAGCUGUUAUCUAGAUUUUGACUUUUCUACACUGUUUUAGAAAAAUCAUAGAAAAAUCAUACGAGGUCGAAAACUAAAUCCGUAAAUUCUGAGAGUUCAUAAAAUGUGUCUAAUCUAUUCACAAUGUUUAUUAUGAUUUUUGGAAGUCUUUAACUAGUGUUAAAAUGUUCAUAUUCACAGACUGGUCCGAAUUCGUUUAUGAAAUGAUAGGCAGUUUUGUAAAAAUCACCAUAAAUCGUAGAAAAAUCGUAUUGGGAUGUGCAAGUAGUCAUUUUAAAGGUAUGAAGCUGAACUAUUUGCAUAUUAAACAGAUUUAAAAGAUAUUAAGUUUAAGACAGUCAAAACAGUCCGUGAAUAAGACUCAACCUUUCUGAUGAAGGUUGUUGUUUGAGUUUGGUUGNGUUUGAGUUUAGUUGUGCUCUUGGUGUUUUAACUUGUACCCACCCCCCUUAAAACUUAAGAAAAAGACAAAAAGAUAGGGGUAUGAACUCACCUUGUGUGUUCUUAGUGGAUGGAUGUUGAAGAAAAGAAGUGUUCUACUCAAGAACACUAAGAAGAUGCAUUGAAGAUUUCGAGAAUCUAACACAAAUAUGAUGGAGUUUGUGUAAGAAAAGAUAUCAUUGGAGUAGAAGGAAGUGAAAUAAUUAUAUCGAGGAUGAAUAUACUUACCAAAAGUGGAAGAAAAGCGUGGAAGAAGGCCCUUGAAUCUCGAAUUUUAGUGAGAAAAUUGAGAGAGAAAAUGUGUUUAAUCUUUGGAGGAAGAAUGAGAAAAUGAGAGAGAGUGUUAGGAGAGAGGAUAUAUUUCAGCCUUAGACAAGGAAUGGGGUUGGGAAAUGAUGGGAAAAGGACGAUGAAUGACCAGGUGUGGUGGAGAGGGGUGUGGGCUGGUCAUGAAGUGGGUGUGUGUGGUUGCUUGUGUCAUAAACUAAAGUAAAGUCAACACUCCACCUCAAGUACUUCACCCACUCUUCUUGGAUAAGAUUUACACUCAAAAACGUGAUUAUUCAUGGAGUAUGAGGUUUUAUAUGUAAAAACAUGAUUUUGGGUAAAAAUCCCACGCGAAAAUAGUGAAAAAUGGGCCUAAAAUGAAGUUGUGGUAGAAAACCGGGUGGAAAGUGGAAAAUCCGAAGUCAGGGCGUGGUUCCGGUCUUAGAAGCCUUAGAUCCGUAAUGGUGGUUUGGUUGGUGAAUUGGAUCCGAGGGUGAAGUGACUUCGGUCCGAGCAGGUACCGCAGGCGGACUCGUCAGGAGGGACCGCAGGCGAAGGUCGGAUGUGGUGCUCUAGUUCCGGGUUCGGUUCGGUGCUGCGGGUUUUCAUCAGCCCCGGUCCUCAGCAGAUCCGGUCCGGUCCAAUGGCUACGGUUCGAUGGCUGCGGCUACUCAAAGGGACUUCGGUUUUGGUUCUUGGGACUUUGGCUCAAGGAGGGUUUGGUCCCUAUAGAGAGACUUCGGCCCUAAAAGGCUAUUUUCCAAGGUAUCAUCCCGUUUUGAAUGGUUUUUCACCAAGUCAAGUGUUGGGUGCCCCAAAUGAUUACAAAACUCAAAAGAGGUUUUGAGAGAGAUUUGGGAGAGAUUUGACAUACUUGGAGAGAUUUCUAAUACAGAGAGAGAUUUGGGAGAGAUUUCACAUCCUUGGAGAGAUUUCUCAUACAGAGAGAGAUUUGGGAGAGAUUUCACAUUCUUGGAGAGAUUUCUCAUACAGAGAGAGAUUUGGGAAAGUUAGAGUGAAAGAGAUUUGGGAGGGACUUCUUUUGUGACCUUUUUGAGUGUUUGGCUCUGUAAUUCAAGGUUCGUAAACCUCGUUAAGUCUUGUUAUGAUUGUUAUAUGCCCCCGAGGGUUACGGAAUAAUGUUCUAUCGAGUAGGUUCAUCACUUGUCCUGAUUAGGGUUUAGAAUUUUCGAACACGUGAAAACUCUAAGUGAUACCUUGUGUUAAGAUUGCGAGCUGUUCAAUAAGAAACAUAAUGGAAACCCUAGUAUAGAAGGGUUAGAUGAGUUGACCGGUUUGACUUAUUGACUUUAGUUGACUUUGACUUGGCCAAAAAUUGGCGGUUGUCACAUCAUCCCCCCGUUAGAAAGAAUUUCGUCCCGAAAUUAGUGUUUUGAUUGGGACUUCAAGAAUUUAGAGGAAAGAUGGGGGGAACUUUUCGUAGUAUAAGAAAUUGAUUAUGGUGAGGAACAACCCGCCUGAUGUCACAUGACUGCCUAGGAAUUUCUUAUUGUAACAUGAGCUGAGUCAAUUUAAAAGGAGUUAUUGUUUUGGGAUGAUAGUGUAUUCAAUUUGUGCCUUUAUGCUCCCUGCUUUAUCCUUGGUAUUACUACUAUGCAUAUUUUAUAAUGUAGUUAGCGAGUACUAGCAUUACGAGUGUUUCAACAAUUUGUGAUGAAAUUUGCAUUAUAAGUCCUACCAGUUCUUUUAUAAUCGCUUGGUGUAAACUAGUCGUAUAUCAUUAAGAUUACAAGGGCAUUUGGAUGGGUGACCCCGCCUUAAGCCCACAACCAAACGAGGAAUAGGAAAUGAAGCGGAAUCACACAUUCUAAGUCCAUAAAAUAUUAAUGAUAUAUGACCACAAUGUUUACACUAGCCAUCAUAGAUUCACUAGUAAAAACCUUGCAUUUUUAUAUAGAAGAUAAGACUUAUUCGGGUUUUAACGUGCUCUCGAGAUUUAUGGUUGAUAUGCUUUAAUCGAUGUUAGUUUUGGAAAUAAAACGAACUUUAAAAUUUAAACAUCGAUGUUAGAAACACGUACUGAUAUUUACAGGCGGUUCUGGGGUGGUCUCUCCUACGGUGAUCGCAAGCACCCUUCCACCAUCACCGGCAUCUCUUGCUCUUAGGCAGUCCCAUUUAAAGUGUUUCGUUUCCCCGCACUUGUAACAGGUUAGGCUUACUCCAAUGCCAGGGACCUAGUUGAUGGGUCGUGCUGGUGCCUUACAAAAACGGACAGUGCCCCUCUCUGUUGCAAUUUUUGCAAUGCAUCUUUUGGCAUGCCCCAGUGUGAUGGAAAUUACACUUGUUGCAUUUCGGAAGGGUUCCAGCGUAUUGUUUUAUGGGUGCUGGCGUGGCGAGGGUUGUGGCAGCAUGAACAACAACGAUCUGUUGCUUCUUAGUGAAGUCCUGGGUUGGUUGGUCCUUCUUGUUGUCCCAGAACUUUCUUUUGUUGUUCCCUCCUCUUGCUUGAUUAGGGGUAGUUGUCGUAGUGUCAUGGCUGGCACGAUCAUCUAUGAGUUGUUGUGCCAAUUCCUUCGCACUCUCAAAGGUAGUUGUUCUUGAGGCCAACACGCUAUCUUGAAUUUCGGGGGACAAUCCCUAGAGGUAUCGCUCCAAAUUUUUUUCUUCCGGGGUGACCAUAGCGGGACAAAGGAGUGCUAUAUCACAGAAUCGGGCGGUAUAAGUUGCAAGGUCAGAGCCUGUCAUUUUGAGAUCCCACAGUUCUUGCUCUAGCUUUUGCACUUUGCCUCUUGGGCAAUUUUCCUUCAGCAUCAUCGUCUUUAAGUCCUCCCAGCUUAACGAGUUAGCCACUGCAAGCGUUAGUGACUUGACAUGGCUUUUCCCCCAAGUGAGGGCCCGGCCAGAGAAAGUGUAAGUUGCAAAUUUGACCUUGUUUGCUUCGGGGCAUGCACAAAUUUCGAAGAUCGUUUCGGUCUUUUCGAACCAUUGCAUCAAUGUGAUGACGCCCCCGCUUCCAUUGAAAGAAUCGGGUUUGACACUAGUAAAGUCCUUGUACGAACAUUCCCUCGUACGUCCUGUACUGUCCCCGUGGUUAGAGUUUGUGGCUCCAGAUCCAGCACCACCGAUACCAUUUGUACCAACUUGUGACAAUUCGGCUGCCACGGCUGUUGUUACUGCAGCUUGGAACAUUGCGGGAUCAAACUGUGGAGGUGGUGGCGGAGGUGGUGGUGCUGUUGCGCUGCCUGAGGGUCUGGAAUUUUUCUUCGGUGGCAUAGUUUUGUCAUAAGUUUGUAAAGAUGAACAGACGGUAAGUUCCCAAUAGUAGAGACAAGUCGGUUGUUAUUGAACUAGAUUUUUCUACAUUAUGUUCGACUUAAAAGUAUCUUGCAUGCAAUUCAUAAAGAGAGUCCAUAUGAAUGAAUUUAUGAGUUUAGUAGUGACUCAAAUGUAAUCUUGUAAUUUGUUCCAUGCCUGAUCUACUCCUAAUAUCACUUGACAUAUACCAGUCGUGUGCACUUAAGGUUUGAUAGGCCGUUGAACUUAAUGAGUCUACCCUGAACCAACAACCAAACAAGGAACAUGACCCAAGGUAGACUCACCAUUUCUAAGUCGAUCGCCUCUUAAUUACACGUAACCUUGAGGUAUACAUUAAGUACUUUUAGAGUCAUCAAAAGCAAAUCGUUUGUAAUACCUUGUUAUGAAAUAUGUGGUAGACUCCUAAUGAAUAAAAUACAUGCCAAUUUUUAUUAAUAUUCUCUAGUUCAUAGAUGUCAGGAAAGUUUGACCUUAUAAUAGGUCUAUGUGUUUAGUUAAUGUAAGGAAAAACUUUGACGGUGACACCGCCCCUUGAAUAGUGUACUCUCUACAUUUGGAAGGUCGAUUUUAUGAAUAGGACGAGGCAGUGUUUCUAACGCUCACCAAGAGUUUGAUUCUGUAGUGAUAUCCCAGUGGUGUACCCACUACUUGUGGUGGGUGAUGUUUCGUGGGGCGUGAAAGUCUGAAUUGUCUUAUCCUCUGCCCUGGCUUCUGCCAUUUGAUGUUCUGCUUUUACCACACGUUUUCUCUAGCGCUAUGUGGAGUUCCCGAUACUCCAAAUCUCGGAUCUGGUUAAGGUCACUUCCCUCUGAAGGCUUUGAUGUGCUUUCUGAUCUGCUCAUGGUUUCCAUCCAUGUGACGAAGGCAAAUUGUGGUGAUCUUGAUGGUAGUGCCAACCUCCACGAUUUCAACUGACUGAUGCUCGUGUUUGUACGCUUAAGUGAAUGACACAGUGUAUUAUGACGAGGAGGGUUCUGUCUACAAAUCCUCCUCUGUUAAGGUUGUAGAAGCCUCAUCUAUGUCAUGGGGAGGGUUUUAACUUUGUUCCUAACUCCGUCUCUGUACAUCUACGGCUUAUUGAGGUGUCAGACCAUGGAAACCUCGUCGGGGUAUGGCGACUAGAGGGUGUAUUGUAGACCUCGGGCUCUUUGUUAGAGUCUUCUCCUAUCUCUUCUUUGGCUUUAUCUUCUUUCUGGUUUCGCUUCCUCCGGAUCUUCAUCUGAAUUGUCUUUGGGUCUUACUCUAGUAUUUCCUCAAGGUCCUCUCCGGGGCUUUCUUCAUUCUAACCACCAUCUUCCUGGGUAGGAGAAUAGGGGUCUCCUGGCUAUCGAGCUCUUGCCAUGUUGCUUGUGUGAGAAUAGGGGUAGAAGAGAUAACUAACAGGCGUCUAGUCCUAUAAUUACUUAUAGGGGUGAUCCUUAUCAGUCAUGUCUAUAAUCACAUAGUGCAUACCAGUUAUACAUAAUCUGAGAUGGAAUAGACCUUCGAAUAAAUGACUCUACUCUAAGUCCACAGCCAAACAAGGAACAAGAAGUAGAGCAAUAGUCAUAUAUUCUGAGUCUAUAAUAUCUUUAAUUAUGUAUAACCUUAGCGUAUGCACUCAUUCAUUAUAGACCUACUAAUAGGGGUCUUUAGUUUUCACAUAAGUUGGUUAUAUUAUCAAAAAAUACUCCUAUAGUAUUUUAAUGUUUGACUUAUGCUUUUCAAUGUUUGUUUGUAGAUAGAAUUGGUAAGUUUUUAGACUUGUUGCAACGCCACAACCAUUCUCGGGCAUAUGCUAAUCACUUAUGGGUUAGACAUAGUUGAUCAGGCUAUGUCAUUCCCAGACCUGACUAUACAUUCCCAAGCCUACUUGGGCCAUUCAACAAUCAUUACUUUUGUUUUGUUCUAAAAUGAUGCUGACCUUAGUAUGUAUGCAUGCAUGUAUACUUUUAACAAGAAACUAUUUAUUUCUAAAAGUAUAGUUAUUUGAAAAAUGUUAAAUCAGAGACCUUAGUCCCAAUGCAUUGAUAGUUUGUAUAUCUUAUGUGGCUCGAUAUACUUAGUUCACUAUAAACAAUGCUCUGAUACCAAUCUAUCACACUCCCAAACCAAGGAUGGCGGAAACGUCCGGGGGUAGAGGACUUCACAACAACGAGUAUAAUAGUGCUCAAAGUAAAUACAACCAUCAUAAAUAUAAUUGAAAAGGUUACACGAUUGUAUAUGUUUACAUGUUUCAAAAUCAAUUACAUUAUGAUGACAAAAUAAACUGUUUGACGAUUUAACGUCCCAUCCUCAAAGUGCUAAUGUUUUCCUGUUUCACUGAUUUCCUGAGAAUACAAGUAGUUUUGAAAAGUGUCAACAAUUAAGUUGGUGAGUUCAUAAGAGUUUUGUUUGAGGAAGAAACUGUUUUCCUUGUAAAAGAGAUAGAGUAUGAUUUCCAGAAAAUCCAAUAUUUUCUUAAUUAAGUGUGAAAUGAAUGCUUCUAUGUUAUGCGAUAAUGAACCCUAGAAAGAACCAUAGAUUCCUUCUAUAAUCACUCAACGUAUAUAAGUUAUAUAAAAUUUAAGUCAAAUAAACCAUUGAAUAUAAUGGGUCUGCCCUAGGUCCACAACCAAACAAGGAACAGGAGAUAAGGCGGGCCCACCAAUUCUAAGUCGAUUUCAAUUCAAUUUUAUAUAACUCUAACAUGUACACUUAGUAAUUAUAGCUGAAAACUAACAAUUCUAACAAUAUGUAGUUUUAAUAUCAUAAAAACCAUUUUGUGUAAACCUGGUACUUUGUAUUUGUACCCCUUUUUGUAUAAAUCCGAUACUUUGUAUUUGUACCCCUUUUUGUAUAAGUCCGGUACUUUGUAUUUGUAGCCCUUUUUGUAUGAAUCCGGUACUUUGUAUUUGUACCCCUUUUGUAUGAAUAUGGUACUUUGUAUUUGUACCCCUUUUUGUAUAAGUCUGGUACUUUGUAUUUGUACCCCUUUUUGUAUAAAAACCUUUUAUAAUGUAAAUGGAAAUAAACUAUACCUAUUAUAAUUUAUCAAAAUGUUUGUAAUGUAUAUGCAACCUAACUAUACCUAUUAUAGUUUAGCGUGUUUGUUUGUGGUGUAUAAGAACCAUUUUCUAUGUAAGUCGAAUGUAUAGCAAAAAUAUAACCAUGUUUAUCAUGCCUUGUUUUGUAAUAUUGGUAAUAGUGGAGAAUUCUUACAAUUCAGUGAGUAUUUUCUAAUAUGUAUAAUUAUACCACAACAAGAAACACAUGUAAAAUAUGAAAUCCUCAAAGAUUAACACUUUGCUCAACAAGUUACAAAGUGUGAUGAAAGUUAUAAGCUGUUAUCUAGAUUUUGACUUUUCUACACUGUUUUAGAAAAAUCAUAGAAAAAUCAUAUGAGGUCGAAAACUAAAUCCGUAAAUUCUGAGAGUUCAUAAAAUGUGUCUAAUCUAUUCACAAUGUUUAUUAUGAUUUUUGGAAGUCUUUAACUAGUGUUAAAAUGUUCAUAUUCACAGACUGGUCCGAAUUCGUUUCUGAAAUGAUAGGCAGUUUUGUAAAAAUCACCACAAAUCGUAGAAAACUUGUAUGGAUAUGUGCAAGUAGUCAUUUUAAAGGUAUGAAGCUGAACUAUUUGAAUAUUAAACAUCUUUAAAAUAUAUUAAGUUUAAGAUAGUCAAAACAGUCCGUGAAUAAGACUCAACCUUUCUGAUGAAGGUUGUUGUUUGAGUUUAGUUGUGCUCUUGGUGUUUUAAAUUGUAUUCCGCCCUUAAAACUUAAGAAAAACAUGAAACGAUUAGGGUAUGAACUCACCUUGUGUGUUCUUAGUGGAUGGAUGCUGAAGAAAAGAAGUGUUCUACUCAAGAACACUAAGAAGAUGCCUUGAAGAUUUGGAGAAUCCAACACAAAUAUGAUGGAGUUUGUGUAAGAAAAGCUAUGAUUGGAGUAGAAGGAAGUGAAAUAAUUAUAUGGAGGAUGAAUAUACUUACCAAAAAUGGAAGAAAAGUUUGGAAGAAGACCCUUGAAUCUCAAAUUUUAGUGAGAAAAUUGAGAGAGAAAAUGUGCUUAAUCUUUGGUGGAAGAAUGAGAAAAUGAGAGAGAGUGUUAGGAGAGAGGAUAGAUUUCGGCCUUAGACAAGGAAUGGUGUUAGGAAAUGAUGGGAAAAGGACGAUGAAUGACCAGGUAUGGUGGGGAGGGGUGUGGGUUGGUCAUGAAGUGGGUGUGGGUGGUUCCUUGUGUCAUAAACUAAAGUAAAGUCAACACUCCACCUCAAGUACUUCACCCACUCUUCUUGGAUAAGAUUUACACUAAAAACGUGAUUAUUCAUGGAGUAUGAGGUUUUAUAUGUUAAAAAAUGAUUUUCGGUGCAAAUCCCACACAAAAAUAGUGAAGAACGGGCCUAAAAUGAAGUUGUGGUCGAAAACCGGGUGGAAAGUGGAAAAUCUGAUGUCAGGGCGUGGUUCCGGUCUUAGAAUCCUUAGAUCUGCAGUGGUGGAUUGGUUGAUGAAUUGGAUCCGAGGGGGAAGUGACUUCGAUCCGAGCAGGUACCGCAGGUGGAUUCGUUAGGAGGGACCGCAAGCGAAGGUCGGAUGCGGUGCUCCAGUUCCAGGUUCGGUUCGGCGCUGCGGGUCUUCAUCAGCCCCGGUCCUCAGCAGAUCCGGUCCGGUCCGAUGGCUGCGGUUCGAUGGCUGCAACUACUCAAAGGGACUUCGGUCUUGGUUCUUGGGACUUCGGCUCAAGGAGGGUUUGGUCCCUAUAGAGGGACUUCGGCCCUAAAAGGCUAUUUUCCAAGGUAUCAUCCCGUUUUGAAUGGUUUUUCAUCAAGUCAAGUGUCGGGAUGCCCCCAAAUGAUUACAAAACUCAAAAGAGGUUUUAGGAGAGAUUUGACAUACUUGGAGAGAUUUCUCAUACAGAGAGAGAUUUGGGAGAAAUUUCACAUCCUUGGAGAGAUUUCUCAUACAGAGAGAGAUUUGGGAGAGAUUUCACAUUCUUGGAGAGAUUUCUCAUACAGAGAGAGAUUUGGGAGAGUUAGAGUGAAACAAAUUUGGGAGGGACUUGUUUUGUGACCUUUUUGAGUGUUUGGAUCUGUAAUUCAAGGUUCGUAAACCUCGUUAAGUCUUGUUAUGAUUGUUAUAUGCCCCCGAGGGUUAAGGAAUAAUGUUCUAUCGAGUAGUUUCAUCACUUGUCCUGAUUAGGGUUUAGAAUUUUUGAACAUGUGAAAACUCUAAGUGAUACCUUGUGUUAAGAUUACAAGCUGUUCAUUAAGAAACAUAAUGGAAACCCUAGUAUACAAGGGUUAGAUGAGUUGACUAGUUUGACUUGUUGACUUUAGUUGACUUUGACUUGACCAAAAAUUGGCGGUUGUCACAUGUGUCUAUGUGAUUAUAUGGUAUGCAGUAUGAUGGGGGAACUCACUAAGCUUCGUGCUUAUAGUUUUCAGUUUUGUUUCAGGAACCUCUUCAGCGAAGGGGAAAGAGCCGGUACGGUAGCUGCACAUCACACACACAUUAGUUUUCCGCAUUGUGCGACUCAUGGGAUUGUACUCUGACUUUAUUACUACUUGAUGAUAUGAUUUUGGAUCCAUGAUUACUAUGGUUUAUGGAUUGUUAUGUUAUCGACUAUGAUUUGAUAAAUGAUUCUAUAAGUUAUUUAAUUAAAAAUGAAAUUUUUGGCUUGAAAAUUUAGGUUGUUACAAGUUGGUAUCAGAGCCUUGGUUUGAGGGAUUUGGACACACCUUCAGGGGUGUCUUGACUCAAACCGAGGGUUUAAAAGACUUUCACAAGAAAAAUGUUUUUCAAAAAAAUAUAAAGUAAGAAGUUUUGAGAAAGAACAAGAUGAGUGAUGUGCGCCGGCCGAGGUCAAGUAUGUUUUCCCCAAGAUACCCAUACAUGUUACGUUAUAAUAUGAUAUGAUUAUGAGAACUGCAUACUAGACUAGGGCUAAGGAUCUAGGAAGAUGCCUGAUAUGCCUACUGUAUAUGCUUAUUGAGCUGCAAGAUAAUACUGAUUAGUUAGUUAUAUAAUAGCUUGGAUAGAGUAUGUUCGAUUGGGUUACUCAAAGCCCAAAUGUUGUUGCUUUGUUCUAAUAGGAGUUCUAACAAUCUUUAGUUAACUAAUAAACGAAUACAUCACAUUAAAUGUUAUAAGGAUUGAAUAAUUUCAGAAGGUUAGGUUUAGCCCUAUUUUGCAGCUCUUGUCUGAGUACAACCGUUGUAGGGUAGGAUCUCUCAUUCAAAGAAUUAUCCGGUCUCAGUGAUAUGUAAUGCUAUUCGUGAUUUAGUUAGGUAAAGGUAGCAGAAACUUCAUACGCAGUUGAUGGCGGAGAGUGGAUUGGAGAGUUACGCUAGGGUAAGCCUAGGAUGUGAUUAGCAAAAAGUGCAGCAGUAGUAUAAGGGACUUGGUGAAGUCAAAUCAUUCCUUAAGGAAAGUACGAAUAGAUGUGGAAGGUAGUAUGGGCCCGUACCACUGAAAAUAGAUGAUAUGUACUCAAGUCAAGGAGGGGGGAGAUGGAAUCAAGGAACUGUAGAGUCUAUGAGACCUCCCGAGAUUUAUGUAUGAUUCUGACGAUUAUGUGUUUUAUUUCAGAAUGGUGAUGAUCACACGUCAUGGAGGGGGAGGUUCAGGAUCAGGUUCGGGUGCAGGUUCCGAGCCAGUGGAUGAGGGACUACGCGAUUUCAUCGCGUCUAAGAUCACGAGAAGCAUCCUUGAGUCAAUCCCAGUGAUUUUCGGGUCGAUCAAUGAAGGGAUUAUUGAGCUGAUGGAGGAUCGCCUCAGAGCGUUCCGGAGUGACAUGGCGUUUAGCCAGUCAGGUACGCGCACACUGUCCUUUAAGGACUUUAGAGGGAGUGGUGCGCCGAAUUUCCACAGGGUGAAGGACCCCAUUAUUUCCAGGAGAUGGAUUGAUGACAUUGAGUGUGCAUAAUUGACGAGCUUCUGCCUAGAAGGGUCGAAGGUCUGCUAUGUUGUGGGUUGUUUGAGUGACAUGGCCAAGGAUUGGUGGGAGUUAGUUGGUGAUUCAUUGGGAGCCUCAGCCAUUGAGGCUAUGACUUGGUCGGACUUUGUGACCAGGUUUAGGGUCGAGUUUGUGUGGGUCAUAGAGCUUCAGCAGUUGGCCAGGGAGUUUCUUGAUAUAAGGAAGACGGCAGAGACAGUGGCAGAGAUUACCGCCAAGUUCCGGGAGAGGGCCUUAUUGGUGCUUCAGUAUGCAGGAGAUGAGGAUAUGCGGAGGACCCGCUUUCACGACUUGUUGAGAGCUGAUAUCUGGCAUGUUAGCUUCUCAGCGUGUCUGACCCUAGAUUCCAUGAUUGCCAGGGCGAGAGAGAGGGAGAUUGAUUUGGAGCACAUCAGGAAGAGGAAGGCAGAGACAGAGUAGGUUACUGGGGCUUCGGGGAAGAAGCCCAAGGGAUCCGACACUAGGCUAAAGGGCCAGUCGGGCCAGGGUCGUUGUAGGAAAUGUGGGAGGCCGCAUGAGGGAGCUUAUAGAGUGGGAUCGUCUGGCUGCUACAAGUGCAGCAAGACGGGGCAUUUCAGUCGGGAUUGUACAGCCCAUGCGCCCAUUUUUCAGACAUCAGAGUUGCUGUGUUUCCACUACAACCAGCGAGGCCAUAAAAAGGCCAACUGCUUGAGAUUGACAACAGUAGCAGCGCCAGUGGUGGCGCCAGCUCCAGCUACCCUGUGGAUCACUGAUGGCUGGUAGGGUAAGACAGAGGCUCCGGUGGUGAGGAGCCGAGCCUUCCAGUUGACUACUGAGGAGGCACGUGCCGCAAUCGAUGUGGUGACGGGUAUGAUUUCUUCUCCCUAGCUUUUAUUAUAUGUUGUUUAUGAUAAUGAUGUGUUAUGUGUACGCUUUGUUUAGGAUCGUUCCAUGUGAACGGUAUCCCAGUACAGGUGUUGUUCGAUUCAGGUGCCACUCGAUCAUUUGCUUCUCUUGCACUUAGCAAGAGGUUCCCUGAGUCUUCGGGCAUGUUGGAUUUCCCUUUAGUGGUCGAUAUCACAGGCGACCGAUCAGUACGAGCAUCAGAGGUUUUCGUAGAUUGUGUUUUGAGGUUGUUCAAGGAGCGCUACCUGGACAUUUGGUUCCCAUUUCGUUGCGUGGUAACAAGGUGAUUAUAGGCAUGGAUUGGUUGAGCCCCAAUGGGGCGGUGAUAGACUGCGCACAAUAGUUAGUGCAUGUCGAGACCCAAAGUAGGGGAGAGCUAGUGAUUCAGGGUGAGAGACCACAGCGUGGACCAGCUUUAUGUUCAGCAGCAAGAGCUAGGCACUACCUCCAGCAAGGUUGCGCAGGGUAUGUCGCCUAUGUUAUGGACAUCCAGGAUGCGGGUAAGGCGACGGUGAACGAUGUACCGGUGGUGCGAGAGUACGCAGAUGUAUUGCCAGAGGACCUACCUGGGAUACCUCCGGACUAACAAGUGGAGAUCGACCUAGUCCCUGGUGCGGCUCCGAUAGCCUAGGCACCAUACUGGUUGGCUCCUCCCGAGAUGCAGGAGUUAUCUACGCAGCUACAGAAGCUGCUAGACAAGGUAUUUAUCAGGCUGAGUAGUUCACCGUGGGGAUCCCCGAUCUUGUUUGUCAAGAAGAAGGAUGGGUCGCAUCGGAUGUGUAUAGAUUAUCGGGAGCUGAACAAGGUAACGGUGAAGAACCGUUACCUGCUCCCGAGGAUAGAUAGCUUAUUUGAUCAGCUUCAGGGAGCAUCUUGGUUCACCAAAAUUGAUCUACGAUCAGGGUACCACCAUAUGAGGGUUAGAGAGGAGGAUGUGUAGAAGACUGCUUUUCGGACUCAGUAUGGCCAUUACGAGUUCGUGGUGAUGCUCUUAGGGCUCACCAAUGCUCCUGCCGCGUUCAUGGACCUCAUGAACCGCGUGUGCAGGCCGAUGCUGGAUCGGUGUAUGAUAGUUUUCAUUGAUGAUAUCUUGGUUUACUCCAAGACGCAGGAGCAGCAUGAGGAGCAUCUGCGAGAGGUUUUGGAUACCCUGAGGAGGGAGAGCUUGUAUGCCACGUUCUCCAAGUGUGAUUUCUGGUUGCGUGAGGUACAAUUUUUGGGGCACCUUGUCAACCAAAACAGGAAAUUGGUCGAUCCGCCCAAGGUAGAGGCCGUGAUGAGAUGGGAGGUUCCGAAGUCUCCAUCUGAGAUUCGGAGUUUCCUCAGAUAGGUAUGCUAUUACCAGAGAUUCAUUCAGGACUUCUCCAAGAUAGCAGUACCAUUGACCCGGUUGAUGAAGAAAUUCGUGGUCUUUCGUUGGGGGCCUGAGCAACAAGCCGCAUUUGAGACACUGAGACAGAGAUUGUGCGAGGCGCCAACGUUAGCCCUGCCAGAGGGCGUGGAGGAUUUUGUAGUGUAUUGCGAUGCGUCCAUCUCGGGUUUGGGAAUGGUAUUGAUGCAGAGGGGGCAUGUUAUCGCCUACGCUUCGAGGCAGCUGAAGCCUCAUGAGGCGAACUAUCUGAAGCAUGAUUUGGAGUUGGGGGAAGUUGUUUUCGCCCUCAAGAUUUGGCGUCAUUACCUCUAUGGGUCCGUUGUACCAUUUACACAGACCACAAGAGUUUGAGGUACCUCAUGGAUCAGCCAAAGCUGAAUAUGAGACAGCGUCGAUGGCUAGAUGUGGUGAAGGAUUACGAUUAUGAGAUCCUCUACCACUCGGGAAAGGCCAAUGUCGUGUCGAUGCUCUUAGCCGCAAGGAAGCGCCGAUCAUAGAUAUUUGCAUGAGGAUGACCGUGGUGACACCAUUGUUGGAGCGGAUUCGAGAGGCCCAGCAGGAGGCUAUGAAGGAGGAACAUUGUAAGAGUGAGCGUAUUGUGGGCCAGGUUUCCUCUUUCGAUUUUGAUAGCCAUAGAUUGUUGACACUACACCGCAGACUGUGGGGCCCAUAUCAUGGAGUUGUGUGCCAGGUAUUGAUGGAGGAGGCGCACAAAUCCAGGUUUUCCAUCCAUCCCGGGGCGACGAAGAUGUACAGGGAUCUUCGUCCUGACUAUUGGUGGCCCUGUAUGAAGCAGGAUGUAGCUUGGUAUGCUGAGAGAUGCCUGACCUGCAGGAAGUUCAAGGCUGAGCACCAGAGGCCUCCUGGUAAGAUGCAUCCGUUGGACAUCCCCAUGUGCAAAUGUGACGAUAUUACCAUGAAUUUCAUCACCAAGCUUCCCACGACCGCACGAGGAGUGGAUUCGAUAUGGGUCAUCGUGGAUCAGUUGACCAAGAGUGCCCAUUUCAUACUGAUCCAGGAGAGCAUUUCGGCUGAUAAGUUGGCCGACAUCUAUAUUCGGGAGGUUGUGACCCGACACGGAGUGCCAGUCUCCAUGAUUUCUGACAGGGAUGUACGUUUUACUUCCAAGUUCUGGAAGAAGUUGCAUGACGAGUUGGGUACUAGUCUGCACUUUAGCACUGCUUUCCACCCAUAGACGGAUGGUCAGAACGAGCGGACCACCCAGACAUUGUAGGAUAUGCUGUGGGCAUGCGUUUUAGACUUCAGUGGUAGCUGGGAUACCUACCUUCCCUUGGCAGAGUUUUCCUAUAAUAAUAGCUACCACGUGAGUAUUGAUCGUCCUCCCUUGGAGAUGUUGUAUGGGAGAAAGUGCAGGACCCUGAUAUGUUGGGGUGAAGUCGGUCAGAGGGCCAUGAGGAGCACUGAAGUGGUGCUCAAGACGACGGAGAGGAUCCAACAGGUUAGGAGCAGGCUUCAGACUACUCAGAGUCGGCAGAAAAGUUUUAUCGACAAGUGUCGUUCAGACCUGGAGUCCCAGGUCGGGGAUAUGGUCCUCCUGAAGGUAUCACCUUGGAAAGGUUUCGUCCGAUUCAGGAAGCGGGGAAAGUUAGGCCCCGGGUACAACAGACCUUUUAGGGUUAUAGCCCGGGUGGGCAAGGUGGCGUAUAGGCUGGAUCUACCAGCCGAACUCAGUCAGAUUCAUAGCACUUUUCACGUCUCCCGACUAUGGAAGUGCCUGGUAGAUGAUUCAACAGUGAUGCCUUUAAAGGACAUUCAGGUGCAUGACAGCCUAAAUUACAUCGAACGGCCAGUAGCUAUCCUCGACAGGAAGUCGAAGGAUCUGAGGAACAAGUGGGUCGAACGGGUGAAGGUGUAAUGGCAGCAACGCAAGGUCUUAGAAUGGACUUGGGAGCCAGAGGACAAGAUGACGAAGUCUAAAGUAAGUUGGGGAGAUUUGUAGCACCUGGUUCCUAGUAUGUAUUGAAAUUCAAGCAUUUUGGUAUUUUACUCUGGGACUCGGCGAGUUGGAGGCCCAACUCGUCGAGUAGACUCGACAUUUUGUGGGGCUUUUAGUGGUCUACUCGACGAGUCGGGGGUUUGAGGGUUCCCAUGGCAUAAAGGUGCCAACUUUAUUGCCAUGGGAAGCCCAUGCAUCUUAUAAACCCCUUUUCAUGGAUUUUAGAGCCAAAAACCCCAUGUGUGGACAUCAAGUUCGUAGCUUUACGUACAAAAUGGACCCUAAGAUAUCAUAUAUAUGGUCUUGAUGCAUUAAGACCCAUUAUAAUCGAUUGUAUAGUUUUGGACAAAGAGAGACUCGGUGAGUAACUUGGGUAACUCGGUGAGUUGGGUCGCAAUAUCCCCCAAAAGUCUUCUGGAAAUGAUUCUUUGUUGAGUUGAAGGAAAACUCAGCUUGUUAAGGGUUUGUUAUGGACCUGAAGAUCAAAGGACUCGACGAGUUCAAGGAGGAACUCGACGAGUUCAAGGCAAUGUCCCAACCUCAUGAAGACGGACUCGACGAGUUCAAGGAGAACUUGGCGAGUCAUAGACUAGACUCAUUCAUUCUGAUGAAGAUGAACUAGACGAGUUCAAGAAUGAACUCGGCGAGUCGGUUGAAGAUGGUCAUGAUGUUAUGGUUGAAGGAGAACUCGACGAGCUCUUGCUAGACUCAGCGAGUAGAGUCGGGGUCUUAACAUUUUGUAGAAAGUGGGGACUCGACGAGUUGGUGGAUCAACUCGGCGAGUCAAGUCAACUGGAUGUUGACUUUGACCGAGAUUGACUUUGACCAGGGUUUAUCCUUGACUUUGACUUGGACUUGGGUUGAACCUUGUAAGGGGUUAUGAGUAUGUAUUAGUAAUCAAGAAAGGUUGUUGUUUAGGGAUUGAGGAGUAAAGACAAGUUGUUUCUCGUGCCGAGGACUUUGCAAAUACUACACGACAUCGAGGUGAGUUACCUUCGAGUAGAAGUGGGUCUAAGGCACCAAGGCCAUCCCACUAGUAGUUGAUUAUAGUUGAGAUGAUUGUCUUUGUGAUUAUUGUCUGGUUUGCUACUAUCUGAUACGUUUAUAUGUUAGCAUGAUAUGUUAUAUGUGAUAGUGGUAGUAGGAUGGGGCUAGUCCCCGAAGUUCGGUUGUUAGGACCGAAGGGUAGGUCGGGCACCCCAGAGAUGCCUGACAGUAUGUUUAUAUUAUGAUAUAUGUGGUAGUAGUGGUAGGGGUGAAAUAGUUCCCGGAGUUCGGUUGUUAGGACCGAAGGGUAGGUCAGCACCCCAGAAUGGCUUGACACGGGUAGGUCAGCACCCCAGAAUGGCUUGACAUGGGUAGGUCGGCACCCCAUAAUGGCCGGAUCAGGUAGGUCGAGCAUCCCAGAAUUGCUCGGCAGUAUGUAUGCUAUGUGAUUAUAUGGUAUGCGGUAUGAUGGGGGAACUCACUAAGCUUUGUGCUUAUAGUUUUUAGUUUUGUUUCAGGUACCUCUUCAGCGAAGGGAAAAGAGUCGGCACGGUAGCUGCACAUCACACACACAUCAGUUUUUUGCAUUGUGCGAUUCAUGGGAUUGUACUCUGAAUUUAUUACUACAUGAUGAUAUGAUUUCGGAGACAUGAUUACUAUGGUUUUAUGGAUUGUUAUGUUAUCAACUAUGAUAUGAUAAAUGAUUCUAUAAGUUAUUUAAUCAAAAAUGAAAUUUUUGGCUUGAAAAUUUGGGAUGUUACAGGAUCUCUCUUUGAUUUCGAGAUUAUCCCCUAUUACAUACACACACUCCACACCAAAAUGGUUCCCUCCAACAAAGAGAAACCAGCGCAUCCCACACAUCGAUCUAGCCUGAUCGUCUUAACCUUCUCUCAAAGCACAAUCCCUAUGGUGGUGCUAACAGUUUUAUUAUUCGAUAGCAGCUAGGAAUCAAGUCAGGAACUCGCUAAAGAUGGCCAUCUUAGAUACAUGAUCCAGAGUUGACGCCAAAACCUGAUUGGUAGGUUCCAAUUCACAUUAAUAAUCUAUUAAGAAUAAAUCGAAUGAUCGGUAACUUAGAACAAUAAAAUGGCAGAUAAUUUACUUAAGGGAAAUUGACUUAUCAAGGUAAUUCCUUUUUUGUUUCAUUCACAUUUAGGUAACUUUUUCUUUACACAUCUAUGUACCGAACUUGUUGGAUAUGUUUACAUAUGACCAUUAUGAUUGGUUAUAGCAAGUUACAGCUUACGUGACAUAUAUGUGACAACGAUAAUUUCCCAUGAGGGUAAUGAACUAUUCACUUUGUUCACAUCUAGUCAAUUUCUUUUUUUGUUCACAUCUAGGCAAUUUCUUUUCUUUUUUGUUCACAUUCGACCAUCCAACUUGUUGAAUUUGUUCACAUAAUACCAUUGUUUCAGAAAUUUAGAUCGGUAGUUGAAUUCAUUCGUCCAACUUGUUGAAGUUGUUUACAUAAUACCAUUAUUUAUGAAAUCAAGACACUUGGUUCGAUCUGACACAAAAACAACAUUUUUUUUCUUAUGGUGGGGUUCGAACCAAACGAUUAAACUUUUGUUUUACGAUUAUUAUCCUAAUGGAAGCUUGUGUUCACUCCCUCAUUGUGUUGAGACUGGGAAACCAGGAGCAUAGUGGGAGACUAGGUAUGUGGUUUAAUAAGUGAGAGAGUGGGAGCCAACUGAGGUUUAUGGUUUUGAUCUUUCUAAACAAGUCUAGCCAGCCUAAAAUCACCAAGGUAGGGUUGGAGGUUCGUUCCUGAUAACAUAUUCAUGGCUUUCACAUCUCCAUGUGAAAUACCAAGCACACAAUCAUGAUAUAGAUACACAAGAGCAUGAGCCAUGCAUAGUAUAACCCCGUACCGAGUUUCCCACUUUACUCCUCAUUUCGCAGUCAUUGUACCAUGGAGGAAGAGGCUUAAGCUCCCAUUAGGAUAAUACUCGUAAAACAAAUGUUUAAUUGUCUGGAUCGAACCUCACCCUAAGAAAAAAACGACAUUCUUGUAUCGGAUCAAACCAAGUCUCUAGAUUUUCGAAAUAAUGGAAUUAUGUGAACAAUUCAACAAGUUAGACGAACAACUUUAACUAUAGAUUUAAAUAUUUGAAACAAUGGUAUUAUGAUAACAACUUCAAUAAGUUUGAUGGUCAAAUGUGAACAAAAAAUUCCUUAGAUGUGAAAAAAUAAUUAUCUAGAUGUGAACAAAACCAAUAGUUCAUUACCUUCAUGGAUAAUUAUUUUUGUCAUGUAUAUGUAGUGUAAGCUAUAACUUGUUAUAGCCGGUCAUAACCGUCAUAUGUAAACAGUUCUAACAAAUUUGUUAUCUGGUUGUACUAAAAAAAUAAUAAAUUAUCUAAAUAUAAAAACAAAACAAAAAAAUAAUUCCUCUUAUAAUUAAAUCAAUUUCCUUUUACUUAAUUAAGUGUACCUAUACAAUUUGCACAAUACGUUAAUAACUACAAGACCGCAUAUAAGUAACGUCUACAUAGAUUUAAGCGAUGCAUACUCAUUCAAGUCCUAAUAUUUUUAUAUGCCAAAUUAUAUUUAAAAGUAUAAAAGUAUAUCAUCUCAAAUGAAAAUAUAAGACUUAUUAAACCCACUAAAUAAAUCAAAAAAAUAUUAAAUCAAUGAAACCAUAAUAUACUUUCAUUACCUCCAUAUUCGUUAAGAUCAAAGCUAAGUUUACCUUAAUUUCCUUUAUUUAAUAUUCAAGACCUUAUUGAUUUGCCAAGAUAAGAAAAUAAUUUUUUUUUUGUUAGUUCACUUCAAAACUAUAAAUCAAGGGUUAAAUGUAAAUGGUUCUCUAAUUUUUAGUGUCAUUCGAUAACAAUAUAACUAUUUUAGUGAAAUUCCUUUGCUUCUUCAAAAUAUAACAACUUAAUGUAAAUAGUUAUCGCUGGGUAAAUUAAAAAUAAAGUACCUUAAUAGAAAAAAAAAUUAAAAUAUAUAGUUUUGUAAUAGAACUAAAUAAAUAAAUAAUACAUUUAUAUAAUAUACAUAUAAAAAAAUAUAUUGGUUCUCCUAUAGUUAAUCGUACACACGAUGAUUAAAAUCUAUUGUGUAAAAUGCUUCUAAAUGCAUUUUAACCUCGUGAUUGUUUUUUAACAAAAUAAUUAAAAUUGAAAUUAAAUGUUAGCUUAAAAAUAGAUUAUAUAGUUUUAUUUACCGGUUAAAAAAAACAAAAUAAUUAUGGUAGUUGUGAAUUAAUUCCCAGAAGGAUUAAUUCAUUCUAACAGACGAACUUUUUUCCAAUAUUAAUAUCUAAAUGUUUACUACAUCAAUUCCAUGUAAUCAAUAUCCUCUAAUGUCAAGCUCUGAUAAUAUUGUUUUUUGUCAAAUAAACAAAUAUUCACAUUAUAAAGGGUAUGGUCCUCUAAAAGCAAAAAGCUUAAAUUUUCAAACUUUUAUGAAGUUGUAACCAUUUAUAACCAUAGUAAAUGCAUUUUACUCGCUUUUUCAUCUAUAUAUACUUGACGAAAUCACCUUCAUUCGAAUCAUCCCAAUCUUCACUCAUUCAUUCUUACUUUCAUCGUCAUGAAGUCUCAUUGCUUCCUUUUGGCCUUUUUUCUCUUGGUUGCAACUUCUGUAAGUUUCUUCUUCCCUCUUUAAUCUUGUAUAGAUUUUGCACAUUCCAUGAAAUGAUUCGGUACUAAUUUCAUAUUUUACAACUAUCAAUUGCAUAGCAUACCCGUUCUAAAAAUAAUUGCAUAACAUACAAGAUUUAAUGCAUAAUGUUCAAAAUUUCAGUUUCUAAAUUAAAUGUUCAUAUGGAUAUGAAUUUGUUAAAUCAUUUGGAUAUUUCAUUGGUGUAAUUUCACUAAGGAAUGGACAAUUGCAAGGUAUUAAAACAAAAAUGAAUUGUUGAAAAAUAGAUAAACUGAUUACUCAAUAUUUUAUUACUUUUGUAGAUUCAUACGUUCGGCAAAAAAAUGCUAUUGCAUGCUAGUAUUAUAUAUUAUAGUUAUAUUUAUAUCAAUUACAUGAUGCUUGCAUAUUUUCAUGUAGUUUCAUACAUUCGGCAAAAAAAAAAAAUUAAAAAAAUAGAUAUGAUAGAUUACUAAAUAUUUAAAAAUGAUUGCUAAAUAUUUUAUUAUUUUUGGAUUCCUUACGAUGUCUAAAUUAAGUACACAUUGUGUAUAUUUAGUUUAUAUUUACAUAUGAAAACAUGUCUAACCUAAGCAUACGAACUAUUAUCAUUUUUUAAGAUGAUCGUUUAUUUGAAGUCACUAAUUUUUUAGUUUGUGUAUUAUAUAUAUAUAGGUUGCACAUGUUGGUUUUGGAGCACCAAUUUCCAUAUCACUCUCUUCGACACCAUCGCUACCUAUCGGUUACCCCCAACCCAACACCCCUUCACUCACCGUGGUUCCAGGUACACCAGCAUGUAACGACACACCUCCGCCAUCACCCACCGUAUCUCCGCCAGUUUAUACACCUCCACCAGUUCCAAACCCACCCGUACCUGCUCCAACACCGUCUAUUUCACCCAGCCCUGCACCAUCUGUGGUAGCUUGCCCACCUGUUGCUACACCACCUGUCAGUUCACCACCGCCGCCGGUGCCCUAUAAUCGCCGACUUAAACCACAACCUAUCACUCCGAUUUCACCACCCAUUCCAACUCCACCACUCCUACCUACUCCGGCACCGUCUAUUUCACCCACCCCUGCACCGUCUGUGGUAGCUUGUCCACCUGUAGCUACACCGCCGCCGGUGCCUUAUAAUCGAGGACUUAAACCACUGCCCAUCACUCCGACUCCACCACCUAUAAUCAAUCCGCCAUUCCUAGACCCACCAACCGUCGCUCCUUCUCCGGCCAACUCACCUAGUAUUUCUCCGGGUUUGCCCUGCAACGACACAACUCUACCACCUGUAGCUCCACCCCUUCCUUAUCCACCCAACACUCCACCUUAUAACCCACCUGAUGUAACACCACUACCUCCAGUGAUACCACCGACAAUUCCUCCAUUUCCAACUAACACUCCACCACCUCCGGUGACACCGUUAGUUUCACCGCCACCUCCACCUCCACCAGUUCCUGUUUUACCACCCAGUCCAGUGACGCCGGCACCUGCACCGCUUCCAUGUCCAACCAACCCUCCACCUCCCCCGCCACCUUGCAUCACCACCGCUCCACCACCAACUAACUCAACUCCACCAUCUCCGAAUCCACCCAAGAUGCCACCAUACAUUCCCUCACCAAGUAUUCCACCAAAUUACCCUGUCAUCCCUAUCCCCUCACCACCUUGCAACAAUGAUGCAGUGAUAGGCAAGCAGCCUAUACACUGAUAUGAAAACUCUAGCUGGAAGACGCCGGUGACCUUGAAGGCCUCCUACUUUAUAUAAUUAAUUUCCCAUUUACAUGAGGGAAUCAAUAAAAUUAUGUUUUGGAUUGUGAUAUUUACUGCGUGGGUACUUAUUUUAAAUGAAUGUGUGCAUGCAUAUGGUUUGAUAAACUCAAAAGCGU